rnacentral:tRNA from 1 species
CAUUAGAUGGCCGAAAUUUUAAGCAUUGGUCUCUUAAACCAAAUUAUAGUAUAUUACUUCUAAUG